rnacentral:rRNA from 1 species
CGGAUGUGAAAUCCCCGGGCUCAACCUGGGAACUGCAUUCGAAACUGGCAGGCUAGAGUCUUGUAGAGGGGGGUAGAAUUCCAGGUGUAGCGGUGAAAUGCGUAGAGAUCUGGAGGAAUACCGGUGGCGAAGGCGGCCCCCUGGACAAAGACUGACGCUCAGGUGCGAAAGCGUGGGGAGCAAACAGGAUUAGAUACCCUGGUAGUCCACGCCGUAAACGAUGUCGAUUUGGAGGUUGUGCCCUUGAGGCGUGGCUUCCGGAGCUAACGCGUUAAAUCGACCGCCUGGGGAGUACGGCCGCAAGGUUAAAACUCAAAUGAAUUGACGGGGGCCCGCACAAGCGGUGGAGCAUGUGGUUUAAUUCGAUGCAACGCGAAGAACCUUACCUGGUCUUGACAUCCACAGAACUUUCCAGAGAUGGAUUGGUGCCUUCGGGAACUGUGAGACAGGUGCUGCAUGGCUGUCGUCAGCUCGUGUUGUGAAAUGUUGGGUUAAGUCCCGCAACGAGCGCAACCCUUAUCCUUUGUUGCCAGCGGUUCGGCCGGGAACUCAAAGGAGACUGCCAGUGAUAAACUGGAGGAAGGUGGGGAUGACGUCAAGUCAUCAUGGCCCUUACGACCAGGGCUACACACGUGCUACAAUGGCAUAUACAAAGAGAAGCGACCUCGCGAGAGCAAGCGGACCUCAUAAAGUAUGUCGUAGUCCGGAUUGGAGUCUGCAACUCGACUCCAUGAAGUCGGAAUCGCUAGUAAUCGUAGAUCAGAAUGCUACGGUGAAUACGUUCCCGGGCCUUGUACACACCGCCCGUCACACCAUGGGAGUGGGUUGCAAAAGAAGUAGGUAGCUUAACCUUCGGGAGGGCGCUUACCACUUUGUGAUUCAUGACUGGGGUGAAGUCGUAACAAGGUAACCGUAGGGGAACCUGCGGUUGGAUCACCU